rnacentral:lncRNA from 1 species
UAAUAACCUUUAAAUACAAGAAAUUCAUAAUCAGAAAUAAACAAAAGAAAAAAUGCCUAUAAAUUUGUAACGGACAAACAUAAAUCUAUAACCUCCCAUAAUUCCUAUAGUUAAAAUCAUAACAGUCAUAACCAUAGGAAUACUACAAUAAACUCCAAUAAUAGGUUCUGAUCCAUAUUCUCAGCAGAUACACAAAUGACUUCAAAUAUUGUACAACGGAAUUGAACGAUAAACUGAUAUAAUCCACCUAGAAAAAAAUCGAUUAAAAUGUAAUGCCAAAAAAAAUAAAAAUAAUGUGAUAGAGUAAGAAACGAAAGAUGAAUACAUGGUUGCUGCGAAGAUCAUGGUUGAAAAUUUCUUGAAGAGACCAAGAAAAAAUAGUGUUGAUGAAGUUAUGAUUCUCGUAACUACCCUUCUUCUUCUUCUUCCUUGAAGUUGAAGUUGAACUGCAUUCAUGGUUUUUCUUCUUGCUCGAGAAUUUCAACUUGUGUAGACUCAUACACUCAUUCUAGAGAGAGAAAAUGAGGUGUUUGUUUUUUUGAAGGAGAAACUGAGGUGUUAUGA